rnacentral:rRNA from 1 species
AGGGAGCGUAGGCGGCUGAUUAAGUCAGCGGUGAAAGGUAGCAGCUUAACUGUUUUACAUGCCGUUGAUACUGGUUAGCUUGAGUUGACAGAAGGCAGAUAGAAUUCCUGGUGUAGCGGUGAAAUGCUUAGAUACCAGGAGGAAUACCGAUUGCGAAGGCAGUCUGCUGCAGUCACACUGACGCUGAGGCUCGAAGGUGCGGGGAUCAAACAGGAUUAGAUACCCCUGGU